AGACAGGGUUUCUUUUUCUCUGGCGUCCUCAAGCUCACAGAGAUCUGCCUGCGUCUGCCUCCUGAGUGCCCAGAAACACAGCUCUGGUGUUACUGAAAGGAACUGUGAAAAGCUGAAGAAUUAUUUGUAAUCCAACCUUGCCAGGGAAUUAUAGCAUGAUAACAGAUAUUGCCUUGGACCUGUGAGGUGCGCUAUUUAGGAAGACAUCCACAAGAAGAAAGCACGUGAAUGGAGAACAGGAUGCCUUCUUGGAAAGUUUCUCAGCGACUUGUAUACAUGAAGCCAAUGACAACAUGGGAAGUCACGUCAACAUUCAACAGGCUCCAUAAAUGUUUAAACGUGG